GAUGAACGCUGGCGGCGUGCCUAAUACAUGCAAGUCGAGCGAACAGACGAGGAGCUUGCUCCUCUGACGUUAGCGGCGGACGGGUGAGUAACACGUGGAUAACCUACCUAUAAGACUGGGAUAACUUCGGGAAACCGGAGCUAAUACCGGAUAAUAUAUUGAACCGCAUGGUUCAAUAGUGAAAGACGGUUUUGCUGUCACUUAUAGAUGGAUCCGCGCCGCAUUAGCUAGUUGGUAAGGUAACGGCUUACCAAGGCAACGAUGCGUAGCCGACCUGAGAGGGUGAUCGGCCACACUGGAACUGAGACACAGUCCAGACUCCUACGGGAGGCAGCAGUAGGGAAUCUUCCGCAAUGGGCGAAAGCCUGACGGAGCAACGCCGCGUGAGUGAUGAAGGUCUUCGGAUCGUAAAACUCUGUUAUUAGGGAAGAACAAAUGUGUAAGUAACUAUGCACGUCUUGACGGUACCUAAGCAGAAAGCCACGGCUAACUACGU
rnacentral:rRNA from 1 species